CCCCUCUCUGAUGCGGGGAUCACCUCCAAAAUCCUUGCCGGUCUUGAUCUGGAAUAUAAUCUGGUCGUGUUGGCACUCGCGGCUAGGGUAGAGCCUGUCACGGUUCAGGAACUCUACAUCCAACUUAUGAGUUUUGAUG
rfam:Hordeum vulgare subsp. vulgare, WGS project CAJW01000000 data, contig: morex_contig_242331